UCAAAAGACCCUAUUUGCAAUGCCGGGGAGGUGGAUCAGUGCGUUGGGGGAAGAAGAAAUGGAGCGCCAUUGUUGCUGAGCUCUCAACCAUGGGCGGAGAUGUAGAAACAUUAUUUAGUCCUGAACUCAUACAAGUUAAGAGUUUUGGAGUUGAAUGCAAGUGGUGACCGUGGGAUCAAUGUUGUUCGGACUAGGAUUAAAGAUUUUGCUUGUGUUGCAGCAAGCAGUGGUCAAUGCCAUGGAAUGCCCUGAGGCAUCCCAUGGAAGCAUACUCCAAAGUGACAUGAUUCUUUCUUAUAUGCAACUAUAUCAGCAGGAUUGUAGAGCUCCCGUGCAUCGACGCCUGCAAAAGUUCAGGUUUAAGCCACUCUCUAAAGAGGUUUGGUAAUCUUAAUAAUUUUUGCAUUUGUUCAUGCACUCGAAGGCAGGGUAGUAUCAAGAACUUGGCGAACUAUAAUUGCUCUUUAAUUAGUUAGUAGUUAGCGGAUUAAUCAUAAUUAUUAUCAUAAUCAUAGGCAGUGUUUGGAUUUAGCUGCUAUUUUAGUGCGUUUUGAUGAAUAAUAAAUAUAAUUUGUUUGUCAAAGAUAAGUUUUAAUAUAGGUUUCCAGCCAAGAAUAUUCCCUCUCAUCAUCAUCAUCAACACUUUCUUAUAAGGUACGCUCUUCAUAAAUAGUUCUUCAAUUAUUUGAACUCAUAACAUGCAACUGUUUUAUAUAAUUUUUUCUCUUUUCUUUAAUCUGACUUUAACUGUUAUUAAAUAAUUAUAAUAAAGUUCAACCAAAAAAUAAAACUACAAAAUUUAAAGUCUAAAACAGUAAGAACCUAAUAAAUAUGAAAGCUAAAGCUACAAAUAGAAAACAUAAACGAAUUAAAAAAAUAAAAAAGACAAGAAAUCUAUGUGGGUGCAGGCAACCUAGACAAGUUGUUUGUCACCCAAAUGGAGUGCCUUGUAAGAGAACCAUUACUCAGCUCCAUGUGUUUGACCUUUAAUUAGAUGAUGAAUAUGGCAUGCAUGAACUUACACAGUUCAAGCUGCACCAAUCUCAAAAUUAAAAUUCUUUUCCAAUCAUAAUGCCAUGAGAGGCUCAUGUUUUUUAUUUAGAUUGGAUCUCGAGGCGGGACAAAGAAAGAAGAAGGUAAUUCGUUCUUUAAAAUACGACUUUGAUUAAGAUUUUUGAAGUUGUUUUUCUCCUUAGAAUAAGGGACUUGAGUAUGUAUUAAA